AGUGGAACCUCCGCGGCGGCAAUGGAAGGAUCCAGCUACAGGGUGGUGUUUGAAAAGGGAGGCGUGUACCUGCACACCAGCGCCCGGAAACACCAGGAUCCAGACUCGCUCAUCGCCGGCGUCAUACGAGUGGUGGAAAAGGACAGCGACGUCUUUCUGCACUGGGCUCCGGUGGAGGAGGCUGGAGACCCAACCCAGAUUCUCUUCAAGAAGUUACAGUGAAAAGUCAGAAGGACACAGAGGAAUCUUGACAAGAACACAGAAAGGGCUGAGAGCAGGGGUGACCCGAGUCGGGGUGAGCCCAGCACCUCAGAGGAGGAACCUACCUUUGACCCAGGCUAUGAACCUGACUGGGCUGUCAUUAGCACGGUGCGGCCACAGCCCCACCUGGCAGAGCCCAGGAAAGGUGCAGAGCCCAGUUCCUCCCGGAGCUCCUGGGCCUUCUCCGUGAGCCUGGGGGAGCUCAAGUCCAUCCGCAGAUCCAAGCCAGGCCUCAGCUGGGCCUACCUGGUCCUGGUGACCCAGGCUGGAGGCUCCCUGCCUGCCUUACACUUUCACAGAGGGGGUACCCGAGCCCUGCUCCGAGUCCUUAGCCGAUACCUGCUGUUGGCCAGCUCUCCACAGGACUCCCGCCUCUACUUGGUCUUCCCCCAGGACCCCUCUGCCCUGUCCGACUCCUUCCACCACCUGCAGCUCUUUGACCAGGACAGCUCCAAUGUGGUGUCUCGUUUCCUUCAGGACCCCUACUCCACCACCUUCAGUAGCUUCUCUCGAGUGACCAACUUCUUCCGGGGAGCCCUACAGCCGCACCCUGAGGGCGCCUCCUCCCCUAACCUACCCCCGCUGCCAGAUGAUGAACCAGAGCCUGGCUUUGAGGUCAUUUCUUGCGUGGAGCUGGGGCAGCGUCCCACAGUGGAGCGUGCUCCUCCAGUCACAGAGGAAGAGUGGAACCGCUACGUGGGCCCCGAGGGUCGCCUGCAGAAUGUCCCUGAGUUGAAAAACCGGAUCUUCUCAGGCGGUCUCAGCCCUGGCCUACGUCGAGAGGCUUGGAAGUUCCUUCUGGGGUACCUUAGCUGGGAGAGCUCAGCUGAAGAGCACAAGGCGCAUGUGCGGAAGAAAACGGAUGAGUACUUCCGAAUGAAGCUGCAGUGGAAGUCUGUGAGUGCUGAGCAGGAGCGGAGGAACUCACUGCUGCAUGGAUACCGAAGCCUCAUUGAGAGAGAUGUAAGCCGCACGGACAGGACUAACAAGUUCUAUGAAGGCCCUGAGAACCCUGGGCUGAGCCUGCUCCAUGAUAUCCUUCUUACCUACUGCAUGUACCACUUCGACUUGGGCUACGUUCAGGGUAUGAGUGACCUCCUGUCCCCGAUCCUCUUCGUUGUUCAGAACGAAGUAGAUGCCUUCUGGUGUUUCUGCGGCUUCAUGGAACUUGUGCAUGGGAACUUUGAAGAGAGUCAGGAGACUAUGAAGCGGCAGCUUGGGCAGCUCCUGCUGCUUCUGCGGGUGCUGGAUCAGCCACUCUGUGAUUUCCUGGAUUCUCAGGACUCGGGCUCGCUGUGCUUCUGUUUCCGGUGGCUGCUCAUCUGGUUCAAGAGGGAAUUCCCCUUUCCUGAUGUCCUCCGGCUGUGGGAGGUGCUGUGGACAGGGCUUCCUGGCCCCAAUUUGCACCUGCUGGUGGCCUGUGCCAUCUUGGAUAUGGAACGGGACACCCUGAUGCUGUCUGGCUUUGGCUCCAAUGAGAUCCUUAAGCACAUCAAUGAACUGACCAUGAAGCUGAGUGUGGAGGAUGUGCUGACACGGGCAGAGGCUCUGUACAGGCAGCUGACGGCCUGCCCAGAGCUGCCACACAAUGUGCAGGAGAUCCUGGGGCUGGCACAGCCAGAAGAGCCUAGUAGCCCAUCUCCUCCGGUAUCUCCGAUGCCCUUGUCACCUACUCGGGCCCCGUUGCCCCCGCCGCUGCCUGAGGAAGUGAUCCCGCAGCCUGACAGCAGUCUUGAGAUUCUGCCUGAGGACGAGGAUGGCGCCUGACUCCUAGCCCGGUGCAUCUGACCGGGUUCCUGCAGAUUGACAGGUCCUGAGCUCCAUGUCCAUGGAGGAGGCCUGGAGCGAAGUGAGACCAUGAGCCGGCCAAUGAAAUGGAGGAAGGUCCUCCUAGAGGUCCGGGAUUCCCGAGUGCCCGCCCACCAGCUGCUGCCAUUGUGAGGCAAUAAACCGUUCUUGGUUGACUGCGCUGGCUGGCAUCAGGACACUUUGCUUUUCCCAUCUUGCUCAUAGCCCAUGCUGGCCUCAAGGUUGCUGGGUUUUUGUUCCAGUCAGGAUCUGUCAGCACCCCAGCAUCCAAUGGCUUCUGAUCUCUUCACCACGGUGUAGUGUUCAUUCACUCAAGUGUCGCCCCACCUAGGGCAGUUAUAUUCUGGAAACCAGUGCAUUGUGGAGGGAAGUGAGCCUGUGGUUUAACAAAAAUAACUUUAUUGUGGGCUA